GUUGUUGUUUGCAGCAAGAUGAGGGCAGGAGUAACAUCAGGUGGAUUCGGCGGAUUUAAAGCAGUGGUACAUGCCGUCCUUUUGGCACGCUCUUACAUUUGCAGUAAUAAAGUGCAUCAGCCGCCCCUCAGUUAAGUGGAUACUGCAUGCAUUAGUUUGUAAAUAAUUUAAUAAAUAAUAAUUAUUAUUUCCAGUUGUUGUUUGCAGCAAGAUGAGGGCAGGAGUAACAUCAGGUGGAUUCGGUGGAUUAAAAGCAGGUUUUGAAUUAAUUGGUACAUGCCGUCCUUUUGGCACGCUGAGUCAAAAGCAGGUGUUUAUUCAAUUGGUACUCGCCGUCCUCCUGGCACGCUCUGGGUAGCAAUUUAGUCCUGUGAGAAGGCCUUCCCUCAUCCGCAGCAAUCAGGUGCAACAGCCGUCCCUCAGUUAAGUAGUUACUGCAUGCGCUGGUCUAUAGAUAAUUUAACAAGUACUAGCAGUUUGAUUACUCUUUUCAUUCUUUUUUUUCUCCCUCUUUUUAGGUAUUGUUCAUAGCAAGAUGAAGGCCAGUGCAACAUCAAGCGGACUCGGUAGAUUAAAAACAGAUGUUUAUUUAAUUGGUUUACGCCGUCCUUCUGGCACGCUCUGGGUAGUAACUCAGUCCUGUAAGAAGGCCUUCCUUCCUCCGCAGCAGUCAGGUGCAACAGCCGUCCCUCAGUUAAGUGUAUAGAUAAUUCUAACAAGCAUUAGCGGUUUGAUCACUCUUUUUAAUUUUUGUUUUCCCUUCUAAGGUAUUUUUCAUGGCAGGAUGAAAACCAGUGUACUAGCAGGUGGACUCUGUCCAGUCCAGGCGCACAUAUGCGCGCCACCUCUCAGAAUAAGCUCGACUGGUUUGAAAACAGAGAUCGCAAACCGGUCCCGCCUUUCACCUGUCAAGCAGCGCCUCUCAAAAAUCCAGUAAAUAAAUAUCUUCACCAAGAGCGGAAAAUCGCGGAGAGAGACAGCCAUUUUUGCGCCGCAGCCAAGGCAUUUCUAGCGCCGCCGUCAGACCAGCCACAAAUCCGUCGCCUGCCGCACGACAGACCGCAAACAUGACUGGUAUGCACUCUCUGUAAGGAUGCCAAGCCUACAGGGGACACCGCAGCAUCAUCGCACUCCAGUAGAAAAUACUAUUAAUCCGUUUCAAAAUAUAUUGUUUGGUUGCUCAGAUGUAAUUUAAAGUCCGGGAUGAUUAUUCUUAUAAUCCCAAUGGGCUGCCCCUCCAUUAUUUCUAUUAAAUAUUCUCUUGAAACUCUA